rnacentral:siRNA from 1 species
AAAUUGUUAUAGACCCCUAUCAUC